rnacentral:rRNA from 1 species
GAUGAACGCUAGCGGCAGGCUUAACACAUGCAAGUCGAGGGGUAGAGGCUUUCGGGCCUUGAGACCGGCGCACGGGUGCGUAACGCGUAUGCAAUCUGCCUUUCACAGAGGGAUAGCCCAGAGAAAUUUGGAUUAAUACCUCAUAGCAUUACAGAGUGGCAUCACUUUGUAAUUAAAGUCACAACGGUGAAAGAUGAGCAUGCGUCCCAUUAGCUAGUUGGUAAGGUAACGGCUUACCAAGGCAACGAUGGGUAGGGGUCCUGAGAGGGAGAUCCCCCACACUGGUACUGAGACACGGACCAGACUCCUACGGGAGGCAGCAGUGAGGAAUAUUGGUCAAUGGGCGCAAGCCUGAACCAGCCAUGUCGCGUGCAGGAUGACGGUCCUAUGGAUUGUAAACUGCUUUUGUACGGGAAGAAACACUCCUACGUGUAGGAGCUUGACGGUACCGUAAGAAUAAGGAUCGGCUAACUCCGUGCCAGCCGCCGCCGUAAGAC